UGAAAGCUUAAUUUUUUUUCAGGGGAAAUUGUGAAUGCUGGAAAAAGCUCCCAGAUAGGAUUUCGAAGAUAAUCAACAUAACGCCUUUGAAGAAAACCGACUUGAACUAAAGAGACAGAAGCACUGAAUCUAAUACCCCAUGGAAAAAACUCCAUCAUUUAAGUUUAGAUUUAAGCAUUUACUGAGCAUCCAUAUGUGUAAGGAUCUGUGAUAGUAUUUUACGCAGUGUGAAGAGCAGUCUUCUGAUGGGACGGUACAUCCCGACCUCCUUGGAAAUAUAAUUCCCUUGUAACAGGAGGGCUGUUAUGGCAAAUGACAGAAAAUCACCAUGAAUUUGCUUAAGCAAAAUUUUAAAAAGAAAAAGGGGAGGAAAGGAAGGAGAGAAAGGCAUUGAGAUUGUAUUGGCUCAUCAAACCAAACUUUGGAGAGAUUAAGGCUGGAAUAUACAUAACAAAAGUUUAGAACCAGCAACUCAAAUAACAUGCAUCUACUUCUGUUAUGGCAUAUGAAGUCGACAAACUUGACAUCUUGAGAUGUGAAACCAUAAAGCUACCAGCUCUACAGUCCUUCAGAAAGACCCUAGAGAGUUCUCAAGAACAAAGUACAUGAGGUAAAUCUGUGAAAACAUAGGAUCCGUGUACAUGGAAAAUACUCCUAAAAAGAAAAUACUCCUAAAGCACUCCUGCAUUGGUGAUGAAAGCUUUGGAAACCUCUGAAGUAGCAACUUCUUGAGAGUAAAUUGUGGAGGAGAUAAGAGACAAGAAUUAUUGUGGGCUGCUU
ensembl:lincRNA